CAGAAAUCUGUGAAAAUAGAUAGUGAAGAAAAGCUUAAUGAUCAUACUUUCAUGACUUGCUGCCUCUUAUAUCAGUUCUACUUCAAGCACUCCCAACUUUGUGAUCUUCCAUCCCAUCACUGCCCUACAUCCUCCUUCCUCAGGUACAUUCAGGAAGUCUGUGGAUGGAAAGAUGCAGCAGAAGCCUGUGUCCCUUCUUACCAGUGGUGUGGUCUGGGGUUUCAGUGAAUCUUUGGAACAGCGCCAUCCUUAUCUGUAUAUAGACAGAUGGACCUCUCCUCUGAAACCAGAGACUAAUUUGGGUAUCCACGGUCCAAUGAUCCUUCCUGAAAAUUUCCUUGCAGCAAUAGGAACUGGUUUCUCAAACACUGUAUCUCUCCAGCUCUUCAAGGCACCUCAGCAUAGUCUGUCUGCUGUUGAACAGAAGACAUUGAAUCAGGGGACCAGAAGGCUGCUGAGCAAGAAGAUCCGUGCACUGCCCGUGCAGCAGCUCCUAGUGACUCAAGAUGAGCAGGUCGAGCUCAAAGACUCAACAGAAACCCAUUUGUAAUGUGGUUGUUUUUCUUUCAAAUCCUUAAGAACAUAAGCAUCGCACAUUAUGGUAGGAGAAUGAAGUGGAGGCAGGGUGGGGCUUGGGGUUGAAAGAGUUCCAGAUUUUAGUUUACUUCAGGAGGCCCAUUUUCCAGCAUCUCUUCUGUCUGGAGUGGGCUUGGAUCUUAGUCCUAUUUAAAUUUUAAAAUUUUUAGUCAUUUUUACAUAGUAGUGCCAUCUUUUUAUGACUUCAGCCUCCACUAUGAAUUUUUUUGUGGUAAAAUAGAUAUAACAUAAAAUUG